rnacentral:rRNA from 1 species
CAGCCGCCGCGGGAAUACGAAGGGUGCAAGCGUUACUCGGAAUUACUGGGCGUAAAGCGUGCGUAGGUGGUGGUUUAAGUCCGUUGUGAAAGCCCUGGGCUCAACCUGGGAAUUGCAGUGGAUACUGGGUCACUAGAGUGUGGUAGAGGAUAGUGGAAUUUCCGGUGUAGCAGUGAAAUGCGUAGAGAUCGGAAGGAACAUCUGUGGCGAAGGCGACUAUCUGGGCCAACACUGACACUGAGGCACGAAAGCGUGGGGAGCAAACAGGAUUAGAGACCCCGGUAGUCCCUGUCUCUUAUAC